rnacentral:rRNA from 1 species
UUCGUAAACUUGCUCGGGACUGUCCCGCCGGUUUGGCUGGGAAGAGGGCAAGUUAGGCGCUACAUGGACAGACUAGAUGAAAAAAGAGAAAAAGAACCAGAUGAAGAGAUGGCGGAGCUUUCAAGAACCAGAGAGUGAUACACCGCAACAUUCUUAUUGGGGAUUAUGAGCGAUUCCGAGUUUCCUUGUCGAGAUGUAAAAGGCCCUGGCUACUACUGUCAACUGUGUGAGAUACAGUCCAGCUCGGGGCUUGGCAACGCUGGCGGACUUCCCUGGGAACCCGUGAGAUGCCCAAGCCGCAAAGCCCAUGAUGACUUAACAUCUUACCCACCUUACUCCAGUUUGUCACCAGGAGUCUCCUUAGAGUGACCAUCAUAGAGUGCUGGUAACUAAGGACCAGGGUUGCCCUCUGUAAAGGACUUUACCAACUUCUCACGACUUGAUCUGACCACAGCCAUGCACCACCUGUGUCAUAAUUCCCGAAGGCACCAAUCCAUCUCUGGAAAGUUCUCUGCUUGUGAAGGCCUGGUCAGGUGCUUCUCGUUGCUUCUAAUUAAACCACAUGAUCCACCGCUUGUGCCGGCCCCCGUCAAUUCCUUUGAGUUUAAACCUUGCGGCCGUCCUCCCCUUAAGGUCAACUUCUUGCGUUAGCUGCGCCACUAAAAUCUCAAGGAUUCCAACGAAUACUUGACAUCGUUACGGCGUGGACUACCAGGGUAUCUAAUCCAUGUUUGUCCCCACCCUUUCACACCUCAGUGUCACUAUCAGUCCAGGUGGUCUACCUUCCCACUGGUGUGCCUUCCUAUAUCUACGCAUUUCACCGCUACACAGAAAUUCACCACCCUCUACAUACUC